rnacentral:rRNA from 1 species
UACGGGGGGGGCAAGCGUUGUUCGGAAUUACUGGGCGUAAAGGGCUCGUAGGCGGCCAACUAAGUCAGACGUGAAAUCCCCAGGCUUAACCUGGGAACUGCGUCUGAUACUGGAUGGCUUGAAUUCGGGAGAGGGAUGCAGAAUUCCAGGUGUAGCGGUGAAAUGCGUAGAUAUCUGGAGGAAUACCGGUGGCGAAGGCGGCAUCCUGGACCGACAUUGACGCUGAGGAGCGAAAGCCAGGGGAGCAAACGGG